UUUAGGGGUAUGGAAGGUGGAAAUUUGACAAGGAGUUAGACGAAAGAUGAUAUGCCAGAGUCAAAAACCUUAAUUAAACUCUAAGUUAAAUAUGCAACAAAUUUAAGUGUAUUUACAGGUUACGCAGCUCGAAGUUUUCCUGCAUAACAGUAUGUUAGGGAGUAAAAAUCAUAAUAUUCAAAUACGUGUCUUCGUUCCAGCUCUGUGAUGCACUAUUUAUAUUACUAUAAUUUCCUGAAAAUAAUUUCAUAUAUUUGUCCCAAGAAAUAAACAGCGACAAUGUUCACAAUUUUGUUCACAUUUGAGGAUUGUGUAAAAUAAGGGCGCUGUUUCCGUUCACAAGAAAUCAAGAAAACUGGCUUGAAAGAAAUUACUUAAACUACUUUUCCUAAUACAAAACUAUUGAUGUAAUAGAAAAUAAGAACAAUCUUCACUGUUGGCUUCAAAUAUACUUAGUUUAUGAGCUUUUAUUCUGGAGAACGUCUUGAAAACAGAUAUCGUGUGAUUCCGUGACGGGUCUCACGAAAUAGGAAAGUCACGAAAGCUUGAAAGUUCCGUUUCAGCGAACACGACAAUUUUUUUUUUUUUUUAUGGAAAAUGGUUGAAAAACACCAAGAGAACAUUCAGUAAAGGUUAUCUCGUUUGGAUAAACCUUUUCACAAUGCAAUUAGCUCACCAGGGAAGAUAAACUGUAGAAAAAUGCACCAUUUUGUCGUUUUUUGUUUUUGCGUGAUGAGCGAGUAUGACGUGACACGAGUAAACCCCGCCCAAUAACAAAUGCCAAUCUACUCUUGUUUACUCACUGAGAUAAAUAGUCAUAUAUGGGGCAAUCGAAGUCAUUUUGACAGUAAUAAAUACACCUGGUUGUGCUAGCGGCCAGUCGUUGUCAAAUCCUCCUUAAAGUAGCCUCUUGUAAGCUCGGAACUUUGUGCAUUACUGUUGUACGAUGUCGCUGAAAGCUUGUUCAAGAAUUGUUCGUGCUUGUGGUGUCGCCAGUUCUCCACAGUUUCUUGCAAGGUCUCUUCCUCGUCGACUUGGUGAGCGAAGCUUGUACCUCAAGCAAGAUAAAAGAGCUAGCACUAAGGAAGAGCUUGGCAUGUUUAUCUUUGGUCUUGGUGCUCUUUCAACCGCUGUUGUUUGGGGAAUAAAGGACGGUGCAUUUUCAUUAAACAUGACUCCAGCUGAACGAGCCAAGAUGGAGGCAGGAGAGGAAGGAUCUGCAGAAUGAAUUAGAGAUCAAGCCUUGCUAAAUCACUGAGUUGCAGCAAAUGUCGUGAAGCUGUAUUUGCACUCGUUUCAUUUGACUCAUUGUAAUUCGUUGUUAUAUUUCAGAUAUUAAUUUUUUUUAAGAUAGUUUGGGUUUAUAGAUGUGGACAUUGUAAUGUAGUCACUGUAAUAUAUAUACAUCAGGUUAAAUAUUGUUAUAGCUCAAGUUAAUGAGGUAAAAUUGUAAUGCACAACAACUUAUGCAUAUAUCUGUUGUUGUGUACUGUAACUGUUUCUUAUAAUAUUUGUUUUAUAUUGUUAAAAAUUAAAAUAAAAAUUGUUUUAAAUAAUGUAACCUUAUGGUUUAAACAGCCAAUCCAGGAUUAAGUUUCUUAACUGUAUUAACUUGUGGGUAAAAUUGCAGUGCUCAAAGCAGGGUUAGUUGGUGGGUUACUUAACCUCUGUUUAGGGUAGAUUAACUCCCCAUAUUUCGUAUCCCAUGAUACUCUUUGUUGGUUUUUAAAUGCCCAGACUUGCUCCUCAUGUACUCGUACAUAUAAGUAAUGAAUAUUUAGAAUAAUGACAGUUUAAUAGCAAACAUGACAUGAAUUUAAUAGCAAGGAAAUAGACGUAGAGGAAUUAUAUGAUAUAAACUUAAAUCAAUUUUUAAGAUCAGCUUCAAUUUGUUAUGAAAAGUGACCAUUUAGUUAAUCAGUAGGUGUCUUUCCAUAACAAUAGUCUAAAUUCUGAGUUGUAAAGCAACUGAUUAUACACUUGCUAAUCAGUUAAAUUGCUUUGAGAAAUAUUAUAAAAUAAUAUUAACAGCAGCUUUUAAUAGAAUUAAAGGGUCCUUAUGGAUACUUUGAAUAGUAGAAAAAUUUUCA
rnacentral:lncRNA from 1 species